rnacentral:lncRNA from 1 species
AAAUUGAUUAUCACUGUUUUCACGCUUUCUCUUUUUCUUUUUACUUUUACUUUUAUUAAAUUUUUCGCUGUGAUGAAGUUCCGCGAUACAAAUUGGUAUAAUUAAUUACUUACAAUGAUAACUAUUAUUAUUAUUAUUAUUAUUAUUAUUAUUAUUAUUAUUAUUAUUAUUAUUAUUAUUAUUAUUAUUAUUAUUAUUAUUAUUGUUAUUAUUAUUAUUAUUAUUAUCAUUAUUAUUGUGGUGGUUAAGCCUGGGAAUCGUGCUAACAGAAACAGCUGUAAGUUGAGAUUCUGUCUUUUUGAAAUUAAUAAAUGAUGGUUGGUGUAAAUCAAUUGUUAUUCAUCAAUUUUAUCUCAAUUUUCUGUUUUCCUUGAUUAUUAAUAAACUUCCGUUCAUUCUUGUCAUUACCUAUCGUUUAUGAGCAUUAAUACAAAUGCUCAUGAUCAAAUAAGGUAAUACACCAUAUGAUUCAUUCGAUACAAGUAUCCCUUAGACGGUUGUUAUAGCCUCUAACUUAACACACCUAUAUUUGACUGGGGCCAUGCUGGAGCACCACACUCCCACACCUGUGUGUGUGUGUGUGAGUGUAGCGCAUUGAUCACUGAUUGGUAUCAUCAGCAAGAAAAGUAAAUCACUCAGUUCAGUGAGAAUGAAAUGUCAUUUGAUGAAUUCAGGAGUUAUACUGGAGCUACUUCAAGUUUCAUCGUCGAAAUUGCAGUAUUUGGAAGUUCUUCUACAGUGCACAGUGUAUGAGACAAAAUCUCAGAGCGCAUGCGAAAAUUGCACUUCGCGAGCAUGAAACUUGAAGUAGCUGAUGUAUUUAUAACACAGACACACACACACACACGCACACUUGACUGUGUGGCUAGAGCACCGCGCUAACAAUCACGGAGUAGUGAGUUCGAUUCCCUGACCGGGAUGUGUAUUGUAUUCUUGAACAAGACACUUUAUCGCGCAUUGUUUCAGUUCACUCAGCUGUAGAAAUAAGUUGCGACGUCACUGGUGCCAAGCUGUAUUGGGCUUUACCUAUCUCUUGGAUAACAUCAGUGGCGUGGAGACAGGAGACUGGUAUUCAUGGGCGACUGCUGGUCUUCCAUAAACAACCUUGUCCGUACUUGUGCCUCAGAUGAGUCCCUUCUAAGUACAAUCCCAUGGUCAUUCAUAACCAAGGAGGUCUUUACUCUUUUUGUAUGUAUGUAUGUAUGUAUGUAUGUAUGUAUGUAUAUAUAUAUAUAUAUAUAUAUAUAUAUAUAUAUAUAUAUAUAUAUAUAUAUAUAUAUAUAUAUAUAUAUAUAUAUAUAUAUAUAUAUAUGGCGUUGUUUCUCAUUGCGGGAGAUUGUUUCUCUUGUAUGUAGUUGAAUACUUAACAUUAAAUAACACAAUAGAUUUGCUUGGAUUCGUGACUGCUGAAAAAUAUUCUUUCAAGAAUUUCACAGAAAGAUAGCAUGUUUUCAGUUAUUCCAUCUUUCCGCCAUUUUUUUUUUUUUUUUCGUUUUGCUUUGUUUUACUUGCAUUAUAACAUUUUUGACCGUCUGGUCAUUCUUAUGAACUUCUGGCUUCUAGCAAAACAUUUCUUCUUGAUUUUGUUUCUCUCUCUCUUAUAUACAUACAUACAUACAUACAUACAUACAUACAUACAUACAUACAUACAUAUAUAUAUAUAUAUAUAUAUAUAUAUAUAUAUAUAUAUAUAUAUAUAUAUAUAUAUACAUAUAUAUAUUAUAUAUAUAUAUAUACACACAUAUAUAUAUAUAUAUAUAUAUAUAUAUAUAUAUAUAUAUAUAUAUAUAUAUAUAUAUAUAUAUAUAUAUAUAUAUAUAUAUAUAUACAUAUAUAUGCAUAUAUAUACAUAUAUAUACAUAUAUAUACAUAUGUAUAUAUAUAUACAUAUAUAUAUAUGUAUGUAUAUAUGUAUAUAUAUAUAUAUAUAUAUAUAUAUAUAUAUAUAUAUAUAUACAAGAGAGAGAAAAAGAAAGAGAGAAUUGUGUGGAUAAACAAGUUUGAUAUACAAUAUAUGUGUGUGUAUAAAUGCAAACAGAAUGAACGCAAAGACUGAAAAUGUUCAGGCGAUGAAUAUUUAAGUAUAAAUAUAUAGAUAAUUAUAUUAAUAAAUCAAACUUACAUAGAUUACAAACGACAGAGAAGAGUAAUGGGAAUGAGGUAUUAUAAGUCUAGGACUUGCCAAACUUACACAGAGUAAGUUUAAUUUGUUAAUAUAUAAAUAUCUAUAUAAAUAUACUUAAAUAUUCCUCGUCUGAUAAUCUUCAGUUUUUGCUUUCUUUCUUUUUAUUAUGUAUACAUGUAUCGCAGAUGUACGUGCAGUUUUGAGGGGAAAUCGUCGAAUCAUCAACCAUGAGUUAUCAGAUGAUAUGCAGACUAUUUACGGUUCAGUUCAGUCCAUUAUCAACUGAAGAUUUGGGUAUGAGACGUGUGUCUGCCAAGUUUGUGCCAAAACUGCUUUCAGAUGACCAAAAAAGACACUCGGAUCUUGACUGUGUCGAGAACGAUGAAAACUUUUUGAAAACUUUGUGUAGGCCUCUGACCAAGUAUCGCCAAGCUUUUGGCAAAAUUUGAUGCAGAUUUGAUGCAGAUUCAACUUUCUGUAUCAUGCUCAAUGCGACGAACACACGCUACAUACGUUACUUCCAAGUAGAAGUCAGCUAAGCUUAGUGCACAUGUACAGCAGAGUUCCAUGUCAAACUGUUUCAAGCAGCUUUACUCUGUGUGCUUUAGCUUCGUUACUAUGGUUACAGUCCGGAUACUUAUUGAUCAGACUACGUGUAAAUAUAUAUGUAUAUAUAUAUAUAUAUAUAUAUAUAUAAAUUUUAAUCCAAACGGGAAAACAGAAAAAACAACAACACGUGGAACAAUUACAGUAUUAUUAUUAAUAGGCGCUCAGGAAGGAUGGAAGCAGGAAGAUGUAUGUGUGUGUGUAUGUGUGUGUGUGUGUGUGUGUGUGUGUGUGUGUGUGUGUAUGUGUGUGUGUGUGUGUGUGGAGGCGCGUGGCUUAGUGGUUAGGGUGUCAGCAUCAUGAUCGUAAGAUUGUGGUUUCGAUUCCUGGACCGCGCGACACGUUGUGUUCUUGAGCAAAACACUUCAUUUCACGUUGCUCCAGUCCACUCAGCUGGCAAAAAUGAGUAACGCUGCGAUGGACUGGCGUCCCGUCCUGCUGGGGUACACAUACGCCAUAGAAACCGGGAAACCGGGCCCAUGAGCCUGGCUAGGCUUUAAAACGGCACAUUUAUUAUAUAUAUAUAUAUAUAUAUAUAUAUAUAUAUAUAUGUGAAGGCGCAUGGCUCAGUAGUUAGAGCGUCGAGCUUACGAUCGUGAGGUUGUGAGCUCCAAUCCCGGACCGGGCUGCGUGUUGUGUUCUCGAGCAAGGCACUUUAUUUCACGUUGCUCCAGUUCACUCAGCUGUAGAAAUGAGUUGCGACGUCACAGGUGCCAAGCUGUAUCGACCUUUGUCUUUCCCUUGGAUAACACUGGUGGCGUGGAGAGGGGAGGCUGGUAUGCAUGGGCGACUGCUAUCCUUCUAUAAACAACCUUGCCCGGACUUGUGUCUAGGAGGGUAACUUUCUAGGUGCAAUCCCAUGGUCAUUCAUGACCGAAGGGGGUCUUUACCUUUUUAUAUAUAUAUAUAUAUAUAUCACCGUCACCACCGUGACUGUGACCGACCAGGCUAUCAGAUGUUGUUACACAUCGCUAGUCACAAUGCGCUUCGCAUUGUUUCAGCCUUCAAAUGACGCCACCCAGCUGGCUAAGCGAGCAGGCCAGCAGAAGCAAGAGUGAGAGAAAGUUGUGGCUAAAGAGUACAGAAGCGAUCGCCACCACCCCUUGCCGGAGCCUCGUGGAACUUUAGGUGUUUUCGCUCACAAUGCCCCGUCUGGGAAUCGAAACCGCGAUCCUACAACCGCGAGUCCGCUGCCCUAACCACUGGGCCAUUGCGUCUCCACACACACACACACACACACACACACACACACAUAUAUAUAUAUGUAUGUAUUACUCUCUUUUACUUGUUUCAGUCAUUUGAUUGUGGCCAUGCUGGAGCACCACCUUUUUAGUCAAGCAAAUCGACCCCAGGACUUAUUUUUUGUAAGCCUAGUACUUAUUCUAUCGGUCUCUUUUGCCGAACCGCUAAGUUACGGGGACGUAAACACACCAGCAUCGGUUGUCAUGCAAUGCAAGGGGAACAAACACAGACACACAAACACAUACACACACAUAUAUAUAUAUACAUAUAUACGACAGGCUUCUUUCAGUUUCCGUCUACCAAAACCACUCACAAGGCUUUGGUCGGCCCUAGGCUAUAGUAGAAGGCACUUGCCCAAGGUGCCACGCAGUGGGACUGAACCCGGAACCAUGUGGUUCGUAAGCAAGCUACUUACCACACAGUCACUCCUACGCCUAUGUAUACCAAACCCAAGCAAUUAUAUUUAAUUCGUUCAUCCGCAUAAUUGUUUCCAUACCUGCUCAUCUUGAUUCCUCUUAUAUUCAUUUUUUAGCCGGCAGAAUUGGCCCCUCGCAAAAACAUCGGAAUCUAAGUUCGAAUCAUUUGAGCUCUACCAAGUGUUUUCUAUACUAAUAAUCUCUGGAUCUCAUAUGUUGGCUAUACAUACAUAUUAUGGACUCUCCUGUCGUUAGACGACGUAUGAGGGUUCGGCAAUUUCUUGCCGAACAACCACACAUGAUUUGUUUAUAGUAAUCAUCAAAUGUUUGUGCAUACAUAAGCUCGUUCCCUCCAUCAAAUCGGCAUUACCUGUACAGGUACACCGUGUGCCACAAAUCAGAUGACGAAAUAAGGUACUUUGCUCAAGAACACAACGCAAUGCUCUGUCUGGGAAUCGAACCCACGAUCUCGCAAUCAUAAGUGCAACACCCUGACUACUUAGCUAUAUACCUUCACACACACAUACACAGUGAGAGAGUGAGAGAGAGUAAGAUAAUCAUAUAACCAUAUAGGCACGCAUAUGUAUGUGUAUAAAGGUGUGUCUAUAUUAUAUAUUAUUUCAUCUUAUAUUAUACUAGCAUUAUCGCCCGGCAUUGCUCGGGUUUGUACGGGAAAUAACUAUAUAAGCAUUUUUAGAGAGUUAUAGCCAAAAAAUAGCAAAAAAAUGCAUUAAAAAUGGAAAAAAAAUUAUGGUAAAUUAAAAAAAAAAUCUUUGACUCAUCGUAGACAUUUUUAGAGAGUUACUUCCCUUAUAUAAUAUCGAAAAAAUGCAUUAAAAUGGAAAAAAUGAUGGUAAUUUUUUUUUUAAAUCGUAGACUCAUCGUAGACGCGCGCUAAUACCCAGAAGGGCUCGAUAUGAAUCACGACUAUAAGAUACCCGGUUUUGGUUAAACUGCACCGCAAAAUGUGGGAGUAGUUAGGAAUCUAAAUCGUAGGAGACAGACACACAACCUUAUUUUUAUAUAAAAAGGUUAUGCUAUAUUAUAUAUUACAUAGGGUAAAUAGAAGCAAAAUAAAAAGCAUAAAAAUUUUAAGUGUUUCUAUGUUACAAAUAAUAAAAUCAAGGAGAGUUUUUGCCGAGAAAUCUCCCGGUACCUUUCUAGUGUAUCUGUAUUAUUAGAAAUUUAUAGGAACAAUUUAUAAUGUUUAUUAAUGCAUGUGCAAACACUGCAAUUGGAAAUGAAAAAUAUCUAAAUAAGUUGUGAAUAUAUUUUGAAGUAAUCUUCUCUUCAAAUUAUAUUAUCUGUGUACAGGCAUUAUCUAUCUAACUAUUUGUCUGUCUAUCUAUCUAUCUAUCUAUCUAUCUAUCUAUCUAUCUAUCUAUCUAUCUAUCUAUCUAUCUAUCUAUCUAUCUAUCUAUCUAUCUGUCUGUCUGUCUUACUGUCUGUCUGCGUGUAUAUAUGUGUGCAUGAAUGUGCACACGCUUACAUAUAUAACUUAUGUAUGUAUGUAUGUAUGUAUGUAUGUAUGUAUGUAUGUAUGUAUGUAUGUAUGUAUGUAUGUAUGUGUAUGUAUGUAUGUAUAUAUGUAUAUAUGUGUGUAUGUGUGUGUGUAUGCGUAUAUGUAUAUAUAUGUGUGUGUGUGUGUGUGUGUGAGUCUAUGUGUGGAAAUUUCCUUUGUGUGAUUGUUUAUAUGUUUCUGUGUAUGUGUGAAUAUGCUUGUGACCGUGUGUGUGCAUGUGUGCGUGUGUGUGUGUGUGUUUUUUUUUUUUCUUCCAUUGUACGACUGUGAGUGUAAGUGUUUCACAUUGAAGCUCCUCGUGCAUCUUUGAAUAUUUCACUUAUUUCAUUUUUUUACUCCUGAAUUUGAUGUAAAGGCAUUUGUGUUUGCGUUACAACUACCACCACUCCUCUAUCGACCGCCACAUCCUCCUACUUCCGAUGCAGCCAUCUUCCAAUGUGUAACAGAUAAUGCAAAAAUUUAUGCGAAUGUAAAAUGUUUUAAAAUGUUAGAGUCAAAUCUCAGAACCGUCUUGUUAUACUAUUGAUAAAUCUUCUCUUAUUGAAAGAAAAAAGAAAGAAAAAAAGAAGCAACAUAACAUUUUAUUAUCCAGGCAAUGCGACAAAAAGGACUUUACUUGGAGAACUCUCUUGCCAACAUCCGUUCGCUUCGACAUAAAAGAACAACAGAACAGGAAUUAAAAUAAUGAUGACUUCUUUCAUUCUUUUAGUAUUUCUUUCAUAAUAAUGAUGAUGAUGAUGAUAAUGAUGAUUAUGAUACUACUACUACUACUACUACUACUACUACUACUACUACUACUACUACUACUACUGG